rnacentral:rRNA from 1 species
GACGAACGCUGGCGGCGUGCUUAACACAUGCAAGUCGAACGGAAAGGCCCUGCUUUUGGGGGGUGCUCGAGUGGCGAACGGGUGAGUAACACGUGAGUAACCUGCCCUUGACUUUGGGAUAACUUCAGGAAACUGGGGCUAAUACCGGAUAGGAGCUCCUGCUGCAUGGUGGGGGUUGGAAAGUUUCGGCGGUUGGGGAUGGACUCGCGGCUUAUCAGCUUGUUGGUGGGGUAGUGGCUUACCAAGGCUUUGACGGGUAGCCGGCCUGAGAGGGUGACCGGCCACAUUGGGACUGCGAUACGGCCCAGACUCCUACGGGAGGCAGCAGUGGGGAAUAUUGCACAAUGGGCGGAAGCCUGAUGCAGCAACGCCGCGUGCGGGAUGACGGCCUUCGGGUUGUAAACCGCUUUCGCCUGUGACGAAGCGUGAGUGGCGGUAAUGGGUAAAGAAGCACCGGCUAACUACGUG